rnacentral:rRNA from 1 species
GUUAUAGGGUCAAGCGACUAAGUGCAUGUGGUGGAUGCCUUGGCGAUCACAGGCGAUGAAGGACGUUGUAGUCUGCGAAAAGCUUCGGGGAGCUGACAAACAAGCAUUGAUCCGGAGAUGUCCGAAUGGGGAAACCCACCGCGCAAGCGGUAUCCCUGACUGAAUACAUAGGUCAGUGGAGGCGAACCGAGCGAACUGAAACAUCUAAGUAGCUCGAGGAAAAGAAAUCAACCGAGAUUCCCCAAGUAGUGGCGAGCGAACGGGGAGUAGCCUGUACGAUUUAGCAGUUGCGUUAGUAGAACAGUCUGGAAAGGCUGGCCAGAGCGGGUGAUAGCCCCGUAUAUGAAAACCCGAUUGUGGAACUGAGCGUACGAAAAGUAGGGCGGGACACGUGAAAUCCUGUCUGAAGAUGGGGGGACCAUCCUCCAAGGCUAAAUACUCGUGAUCGACCGAUAGUGAACUAGUACCGUGAGGGAAAGGCGAAAAGAACCCCGGGAGGGGAGUGAAAUAGAUCCUGAAACCGCAUGCAUACAAACAGUGGGAGCCUCGAAAGGGGUGACUGCGUACCUUUUGUAUAAUGGGUCAGCGACUUACGUUCAGUAGCGAGCUUAACCGAAUAGGGGAGGCGUAGGGAAACCGAGUCUGAAUAGGGCGAUUGAGUUGCUGGGCGUAGACCCGAAACCAGAUGAUCUAUCCAUGGCCAGGAUGAAGGUGCCGUAACAGGUACUGGAGGUCCGAACCCACUAGUGUUGAAAAACUAGGGGAUGAGCUGUGGAUAGGGGUGAAAGGCUAAACAAAUCUGGAAAUAGCUGGUUCUCCCCGAAAACUAUUUAGGUAGUGCCUCGUGUGGACACUUCCGGGGGUAGAGCACUGUAAUCGUUGGGGGGGUCAUUGCGAUCUACCCCGCGAUAGCAAACUCCGAAUACCGGAAAGUGAUGCACGGGAGACAGACGGUGGGUGCUAACGUCCAUCGUCAAGAGGGAAACAACCCAGACCGCCAGCUAAGGUCCCCAAUGAUUGGCUAAGUGGAAAACGAGGUGGGAAGGCAUAGACAGUCAGGAGGUUGGCUUAGAAGCAGCCACCCUUUAAAGAAAGCGUAAUAGCUCACUGAUCGAGUCGUCCUGCGCGGAAGAUGUAACGGGGCUCAAGCCAAUAACCGAAGCUGCGGAUGCGUACUUUGUACGCGUGGUAGGGGAGCGUUCUGUAGGCCUGCGAAGGUGUCUCGAGAGGGAUGCUGGAGGUAUCAGAAGUGCGAAUGCUGACAUGAGUAGCGAUAAAGCGUGUGAAAAGCACGCUCGCCGAAAGCCCAAGGUUUCCUGCGCAACGUUCAUCGGCGCAGGGUGAGUCGGCCCCUAAGGCGAGGCCGAAAGGCGUAGUCGAUGGGAAACGGGUCAAUAUUCCCGUACCGAUCACAGAUGCGAUGGGGGGACGGAGAAGGUUAGCUCAGCCGGGUGUUGGAUGUCCUGGUUUAAGCGUGUAGGCGUGCUGCAUAGGCAAAUCCGUGCGGCUUAGCCAAGGCGUGAUGACGAGGUCUCAUUGAGACCGAAGUGAGUGAUACCCUGCUUCCAGGAAAAGCCUCUAAGCUUCAGUCUGUGAUUGACCGUACCGCAAACCGACACAGGUGGGCAGGAUGAAAAUUCUAAGGCGCUUGAGAGAACUCAGGAGAAGGAACUCGGCAAAUUGAUACCGUAACUUCGGGAGAAGGUAUGCCCCGGUAGCGUGUAGUGGCUUGCCCACGAAGCGCGAUGGGGCCGCAGAGAAUCGGUGGCUGCAACUGUUUAAUAAAAACACAGCACUCUGCCAAGUCGAAAGACGACGUAUAGGGUGUGACGCCUGCCCGGUGCCGGAAGGUUAAGUGAUGGGGUGCAAGCUCUUGAUCGAAGCCCCGGUAAACGGCGGCCGUAACUAUAACGGUCCUAAGGUAGCGAAAUUCCUUGUCGGGUAAGUUCCGACCUGCACGAAUGGCGUAAUGAUGGCCACACUGUCUCCUCCUGAGACUCAGCGAAGUUGAAGUGUUUGUGAAGAUGCAAUCUCCCCGCGGCUAGACGGAAAGACCCCAUGAACCUUUACUGUAGCUUUGCAUUGGACUUUGACGGGACUUGUGUAGGAUAGGUGGGAGGCUGUGAGACGUGGUCGCCAGAUCACGAGGAGCCACCCUUGAAAUACCACCCUGGUGUCGUUGAGGUUCUAACCUUGAACCGUGAAUCCGGUUCGGGGACCGUGCAUGGUAGGCAGUUUGACUGGGGCGGUCUCCUCCUAAAGGGUAACGGAGGAGUACGAAGGUCUUCUAGGUACGGUCGGACAUCGUACUGAUAGUGCAAUGGCAAAAGAAGGCUUGACUGCGAGUCCAACAAGACGAGCAGGUGCGAAAGCAGGUCAUAGUGAUCCGGUGGUUCUGUAUGGAAGGGCCAUCGCUCAACGGAUAAAAGGUACUCUGGGGAUAACAGGCUGAUUCCGCCCAAGAGUUCAUAUCGACGGCGGAGUUUGGCACCUCGAUGUCGGCUCAUCACAUCCUGGGGCUGUAGCCGGUCCCAAGGGUAUGGCUGUUCGCCAUUUAAAGUGGUACGUGAGCUGGGUUUAAAACGUCGUGAGACAGUUUGGUCCCUAUCUGCCGUGGGCGCUGGAAGUUUGAGAGAGCCUGCUCCUAGUACGAGAGGACCGGAGUGGACGGAUCUCUGGUGUACCGGUUGUGACGCCAGUCGCAUCGCCGGGUAGCUAAAUCCGGAAGAGAUAACCGCUGAAAGCAUCUAAGCGGGAAACUCGUCUCAAGAUAAGACUUCCCGGGGCCUCGAGCCCCCUGAAGGGUCGUUGAAGACCACAACGUUGAUAGGCUGGGUGUGGAAGCGCAGUAAUGCGUUAAGCUAACCAGUACUAAUUGCCCGUGCGGCUUGACCCUAUAACCCUGA